AAUAAAAUGGCUGAGAUCUAAGCGAUAAAUUGUAAAUUUAUUUACGGGAAAUAUUCUCUUUUAUUA
rnacentral:tRNA from 1 species